CAGACCCAGAUGUGGCACAUGAAACAGAGUUGCCCAGGAAAAAGAAGUCCCUGUAAAGCUCAUGUCAGAGAGAGAGAGAGAGAAGGAAGAAGCAUGGAUGGUUCUUAAAGAUAUUCUAGAAGAUGUGGCCAAGGAGAAACAACUUCCUGUUCCUAUCCUGUAGUCUGCCAAGCCUGAGAAGCUACCACCGUGAAAAUCUUCCUAGGACUCCUCAGCUUCCUCAGUGCUACCAAAUACCCACUAUCUCCAUAGACACUCACAAGUG
rnacentral:lncRNA from 1 species